UGCGUUGUGGUUCGCUUGGACCACCUCUCACAAGCGGUCUCGGACCGGUUGUUUUCAGCACCAGAGUACGAUUACUGCGUUCACAACCGCGCAAAUGAACCACACCAUAGUUUGAUUAAAACUGACUAAAUGUUGGUUUGUGAAAGCGCCCUUAGAAACACCUUACAAUAUAAUGCAAUCCAAUAAAACAACAGCACAAAAGACAGCAGCAGGACUAUUGGAUUGUGUGACAAUAUACAGGGGUUUCCGUUCUUUUAAUCUAUAACAUUUAAAUGUUUCAAAUUCAUUCAGCAUCUCUCAAAUUCACCAAUAAAUCUUCACAGGUAGGCAGGCAUC